rnacentral:rRNA from 1 species
GACAGAGGUGCCAAGCGUUAGGCGGAAUUACUGGGCGUAAAGCGUGCGCAGGCUGUUUUGUAAGUCAGAUGUGAAAUCCCCGAGCUCAACUUGGGAACUGCGUUUGAAACUACAAGACUAGAAUAUGUCAGAGGGGGGUAGAAUUCCACGUGUAGCAGUGAAAUGCGUAGAGAUGUGGAGGAAUAUCAAUGGCGAAGGCAGCCCCCUGGGAUAAUAUUGACGCUCAUGCACGAAAGCGUGGGGAGCAAAC